rnacentral:lncRNA from 10 species
AGAUGUGUGAUCCCGCCACCUCCCCGGACCCUGGCGGUUGUCGCUGAGUUGGCGACCGCGGGAGACGCUGCUGAGGCGGCUUCGGUUGCGGGUCGGAACGGCGCUGCUCUGCGGGGCCGGUCCAGGCUGGCAGCUGCCGGCGCUUGGCGGUGAGGGCGGGCUCCCGAGUGGCCCCCCACCGAAGGCGGUGGGACCAGCGGCUGAGGCCAGGAUGCCGUCCAGGCGGCGCGGCGGCUCCUCACUCAUCCCAGAGAUGGGGUUUCACCGUGUUGGCCGGGAUGGUCUCCAUCUCCUGACCUCGUGAUCCGCCCGCCUCGGCCUCCCAAAGUGCUGGGAUUACAGGUCUAUAAGGGAGAAUUCCAACUACCUGACUUUCUUAAAGAAAAACCACAGACUGAGCAAGUGGAGUAGCAGAACCAGGAGCCUCUUCCAUACAUGAGGAAAGAUUGCUGCCUUUUCAGCAGAAGGGAAAUUCCUAGGAUUGGCUGUCCCCUGCCAAGCUUGGUGGAGCGUCUGCACCUUGGCUGCGCCGCCUGUGCAUUUGCCAGUUUCCUCCCACUGAGAGGAUGGAGGUGUCCGCACAGCUUUGGGCCUCGUGAGGGAUCUGCCUCCUGAGCAAAGAGCUCUUGAUCCCGAUUUCAUGCACAGCCCUGCAGUAAGGAGCCCAGAAGGAACAUGUGUUUCCUGUUAAAACUCCUCUUGUUCUCUUUUCUUACAUUAUGACGUUUGUUUUCAAGGAGAGGGUUUAAAAAUGGGAUCCUGUAAGCAGACUUGGGCAGUCUCCUUUUGAAAUAGGUUGUCUGUACAUGUUCUAAUGUUUUGUAGAACACGUGUGCCUGUUUAAGUGUAUUGAUGUGAAUAAUAUUAAAUAUCCUAAUUAUUUAAUUCAUUGUAUUGUUUCUGAGAAGUUGGGAAAUUACCAUUAUACAUUUACAACCUAAUGACUUUUGUAUUUUAUUUUUCAAAAUAAAAGCUUUCAAUGUGAAGCAUUCUGGU